GUGCUUUCCCUAAUUCCAUUAAGAGUUUAUAGCUUCUAGUAGAAUGUCUAGGCUAAUUGCACUGAAAAUGUUUUGCUGCUGCAUUGUCUUAUUGAUAUUAAGUAAUGUCUAGAGUCCCAGAAUCUCAUGUUCUGUUUAUUGCAUUGUCUUGUGUGUUGCCAUAGCUUGAAUCAUCAUGAAUGUGUUGUAGAAUUGAGUAGAAUGUCUCUGCUGC
rnacentral:lncRNA from 1 species